UACGUGAGGGGCCAGCGUUGUCCGGAUUUAUUGGGCGUAAAGAGCGUGUAGGCGGCCAGGUAGGUCUGGUGUGAAAACUCGAGGCUCAACCUCGAGAUGUCAUCGGAAACCAUCUGGCUAGAGUCCGGAAGAGGAGAGUGGAAUUCCUGGUGUAGCGGUGAAAUGCGCAGAUAUCAGGAAGAACACCUAUGGCGAAGGCAGCUCUCUGGGACGGUACUGACGCUGAGACGCGAAAGCGUGGGGAGCGAACAGG
rnacentral:rRNA from 1 species